rnacentral:rRNA from 1 species
GUCGAGCGAAGCGUAUUAGCGGAAGUUUUCGGAUGGAAGCGGAUAUGACUUAGCGGCGGACGGGUGAGUAACGCGUGGAUAACCUGCCUCAUACAGGGGGAUAACAGUUAGAAAUGACUGCUAAUACCGCAUAAGCGCACAGGACCGCAUGGUCCGGUGUGAAAAACUCCGGUGGUAUGGGAUGGAUCCGCGUCUGAUAGCUGGUUGGUGAGGUAACGGCCCACCAAGGCGACGAUCAGUAGCCGACCUGAGAGGGUGGCCGGCCACAUUGGGACUGAGACACGGCCCAAACUCCUACGGGAGGCAGCAGUGGGGAAUAUUGCACAAUGGGGGAAACCCUGAUGCAGCAACGCCGCGUGAGUGAAGAAGUAUUUCGGUAUGUAAAGCUCUAUCAGCAGGGAAGAAGAAAGACGGUACCUGACUAAGAAGCCCCGGCUAACUACGUGCCAGCAGCCGCGGUAAUACGUAGGGGGCAAGCGUUAUCCGGAUUUACUGGGUGUAAAGGGAGCGUAGACGGCUGUGCAAGUCUGAAGUGAAAGCCCGUGGCUCAACCGCGGAACUGCUUUGGAAACUGUAUAGCUUGAGUACUGGAGAGGCAGGCGGAAUUCCUAGUGUAGCGGUGAAAUGCGUAGAUAUUAGGAGGAACACCAGUGGCGAAGGCGGCCUGCUGGACAGAAACUGACGUUGAGGCUCGAAAGCGUGGGGAGCAAACAGGAUUAGAUACCCUGGUAGUCCACGCGGUAAACGAUGAAUGCUAGGUGUUGGGGAGCAAAGCUCUUCGGUGCCGUCGCAAACGCAGUAAGCAUUCCACCUGGGGAGUACGUUCG